CCCUUAGAUGUCCUGGGCCGCACGCGUGCUACACUGACGCAUACAGCGAGCACUUUCCAGCUCCGAGAGGCUACUGGUAAUCAUCAAUAUGCGUCGUGAUGGGGAUAGAUCUUUGGAAUUCUGGAUCUUGAACGAGGAAUGCCUAGUAAUCGCAGGUCAUUAGCCUGCGAUGAUUAAGUCCCUGCCCUUUGUACACACCGCCCGUCGCUACUACCGAUUUCGAGUGGUCAGGUGAAUCUUUCGGACUGUGGGCGCCCUUGAGGUGUUCGCGGAAAGUCAGGUAAAUCUUAUCACUUAGAGGAAGUAAAAGUCGUAACA
rnacentral:rRNA from 1 species